CCAUCCCAGUUCGGAUUGCAGGCUGCAACCCGCCUGUAUGAAGUUGGAAUCGCUAGUAAUCGCGGAUCAGCAUGCCGCGGUGAAUACGUUCCCGGGCCUUGUACACACCGCCCGUCACACCAUGAGAGUCGGGAACACCCGAAGUCCGUAGCCUAACCGCAAGGGGGCGCGGCCGAAGGUGGGUUCGAUAAUUGGGGUGAAGUCGUAACAAGGUAGC
rnacentral:rRNA from 1 species